GAUGAACGCUGGCGGCGUGCCUAAUACAUGCAAGUCGAGCGAACAGACGAGGAGCUUGCUCCUCUGACGUUAGCGGCGGACGGGUGAGUAACACGUGGAUAACCUACCUAUAAGACUGGGAUAACUUCGGGAAACCGGAGCUAAUACCGGAUAAUAUAUUGAACCGCAUGGUUCAAUAGUGAAAGACGGUUUUGCUGUCACUUAUAGAUGGAUCCGCGCCGCAUUAGCUAGUUGGUAAGGUAACGGCGUACCAAGGCAACGAUGCGUAGCCGACCUGAGAGAGUGAUCGGCCACACUGGAACUGAGACACGGUCCAGACUCCUACGGGAGGCAGCAGUAGGGAAUCUUCCGCAAUGGGCGAAAGCCUGACGGAGCAACGCCGCGUGAGUGAUGAAGGUCUUCGGAACGUAAAACUCUGUUAUUAGGGAAGAACAAAUGUGUAAGUAACUAUGCACGUCUUGACGGUACCUAAUCAGAAAGCCACGGCUAACUACGUG
rnacentral:rRNA from 1 species